CCCGCUCAGAAACUUAAAGGAAUUGACGGGGGCCCGCACAAGCGGUGGAGCAUGUGGUUUAAUUCGAUGAUGCGCGAGGAACCUUACCUGGGCUCAAAUGUAUGUUGACGUAUUCUGAAAGGGAUACUUCUUCGGACAAUAUACAAGGUGCUGCAUGGUUGUCGUCAGCUCGUGCCGUGAGGUGUCGGGUUAAGUCCCAUAACGAGCGCAACCCCUAUCAUUAGUUGCCAUCAGGUCAAGCUGGGGACUCUAAUGAAACUGCCUACGCAAGUAGUGAGGAAGGUGGGGAUGACGUCAAAUCAGCACGGCCCUUACGUCCAGGGCUACACACGUGCUACAAUGGCCGGUACAAAGGGCAGCUACCUGGUGACAGGAUGCUAAUCUCAAAAGCCGGUCUCAGUUCGGAUUGAAGUCUGCAACUCGACUUCAUGAAGUCGGAAUCGCUAGUAAUCGUGAAUCAGAAUGUCACGGUGAAUACGUUCCCGGGCCUU
rnacentral:rRNA from 1 species